UACGGGGGGGGCAAGCGUUGUUCGGAAUUACUGGGCGUAAAGGGCUCGUAGGCGGCCAACUAAGUCGGACGUGAAAUCCCUCGGCUUAACCGGGGAACGGCGUCCGAUACUGGAUGGCUUGAAUUCGGGAGAGGGAUGUGGAAUUCCAGGUGUAGCGGUGAAAUGCGUAGAUAUCUGGAGGAACACCGGUGGCGAAGGCGGCAUCCUGGACCGACAUUGACGCUGAGGCGCGAAAGCCAGGGGAGCAAACGGG
rnacentral:rRNA from 1 species